rnacentral:lncRNA from 1 species
UUCGUCUCUGAUGGCUUUCCGAUCUUGUUUCGUGACGUUUCAACAGACGACAUGUCGUUUGAUGCAACGAGUAGUGUGAAGGAUGAUGAUCGUAAUAAUGUUGCUGUUUCGGUUAGUACUGAAAGGUUUCGUGUUGAUGGGUCGUCGGGUAGAAGUGGAGUAGUGGAAUAUGGGUUGAAGAAGGAGGAGGGGGAGGGGAGGGGACGAGGGGAGGAUUGUGAUAAGAAGAAGAAGAUGAGAAAUAGAAGAUUUGCUUUUCAAACAAGAAGUCAAGUUGAUAUUCUUGAUGAUGGUUAUAGAUGGAG